rnacentral:rRNA from 1 species
UACGAAGGGGGCUAGCGUUGCUCGGAAUUACUGGGCGUAAAGGGCGCGUAGGCGGACAGUUUAGUCAGAGGUGAAAGCCCAGGGCUCAACCUUGGAAUUGCCUUUGAUACUGGCUGUCUUGAGUUCGGGAGAGGUGAGUGGAAUGCCGAGUGUAGAGGUGAAAUUCGUAGAUAUUCGGCGGAACACCAGGUGGCGAAGGCGACUCACUGGCCCGAUACUGACGCUGAGGCGCGAAAGCGUGGGGAGCAAACAGG